rnacentral:rRNA from 1 species
GACGAACGCUGGCGGCGUGCCUAGCACAUGCAAGUCGAGCGGAGAAAUUAAAGCUUGCUUUAAUUUCUUAGCGGCGGACGGGUGAGUAACACGUGGGCAACCUGCCCUUGAGAGGGGGAUAACACAGAGAAAUUUGUGCUAAUACCGCAUAACAUUUAGACUUCGCCUGGAGUUUAAAUCAAAGGAGUAAUCCGCUCAAGGAUGGGCCCGCGGCGCAUUAGCUAGUUGGUGAGGUAAUGGCUCACCAAGGCGACGAUGCGUAGCCGACCUGGGAGGGUGAUCGGCCACAUUGGAACUGAGACACGGUCCAGACUCCUACGGGAGGCAGCAGUGGGGAAUAUUGCGCAAUGGGGGAAACCCUGACGCAGCAACGCCGCGUGAGCGAUGAAGGCCUUCGGGUUGUAAAGCUCUGUCUUUGGGGACGAUAAUGACGGUACCCAAGGAGGAAGCCACGGCUAACUACGUGCCAGCCGCCGCGGUAAGAC